GUUAAAACACCGUUUCCCGUACAAUCGCCGAAGUGAAGCAACGUCGGACCUUGUCAGUACCUAAAUGGGUGACCCUUUGGGAAUACCAGGUGUUGUUA